rnacentral:rRNA from 1 species
AGCGAACGCUGGCGGCAGGCUUAACACAUGCAAGUCGAGCGGGCACUUUCGGGUGUCAGCGGCGGACGGGUGAGUAACGCGUGGGAACGUGCCCUCUGGUUCGGAAUAACUCAGGGAAACUUGAGCUAAUACCGGAUACGCCCUUUUGGGGAAAGGCUUGCUGCCGGAGGAUCGGCCCGCGUCUGAUUAGCUAGUUGGUGAGGUAACGGCUCACCAAGGCGACAAUCAGUAGCUGGUCUGAGAGGAUGAUCAGCCACACUGGGACUGAGACACGGCCCAGACUCCUACGGGAGGCAGCAGUGGGGAAUAUUGGACAAUGGGCGCAAGCCUGAUCCAGCCAUGCCGCGUGAGUGAUGAAGGCCUUAGGGUUGUAAAGCUCUUUUAUCCGGGACGAUAAUGACGGUACCGGAGGAAUAAGCCCCGGCUAACUUCGUG